rnacentral:rRNA from 1 species
GAUGAACGCUGGCGGCGUGCUUAACACAUGCAAGUCGAACGGAAAGGCCCUUGCGUUGUGGGGUGCUCGAGUGGCGAACGGGUGAGUAACACGUGGGUGACCUGCCCUGGACUUUGGGAUAACUUCAGGAAACUGGGUCUAAUACCGGAUAGGAGGACCGUCUGCAUGGUGGUGGGGGGAAAGUUUCGGCGGGUGGGGAGGUAGUGGCGGAUUAGCAUGUUGGUGGUGGGGUAGUGGACUACGAAGGCAUUGACGGGUCGCCCGCAUGAGAGGGUGAACGGCCACAUUGGGACUGAGGUACGGCCCAGACUCCUAAGGGGGGCAGCAGUGGGGAAUAUUGCACAAUGGGCGCAAGCCUGAUGCAGCGACGCCGCGUGGGGGAUGACGGCCUUCGGGUUGUAAACUCCUUUCGCUAGUGACGAAGCGCAAGUGACGGUACCGGGAGAAGAAGCACCGGCUAACUACGUG